AAUGGAAAACCCAGCAGCGCUCUUGUGACCCCGGUGACGGGGCCGACCCUCGCCUGAUCAGGGAAGCCUUCCAGGGGGCAGCAUGGCAAGGCUGUGGCUCCUGGAGGUGCUUAAGGCAGAAGGCACAGUGUGUACGAAGGUUCAGAGAGCGGUUGGCAUGGCGGCCCUCCCGGAAACUGAAAACAGCGCUUUCCCAGAGAUUACAGCGUGGGACUCGGGGGAAGAUGUGGCUCCAAGGACGCUGGUCUGAAUGUGGCCUUCGAGGCAGCACAAUCGGGAACAGUCAACACCCAGCGGGAGGGAGCGGAGGGCGGAGCUGUCCGGUCAUGCUGGGCACUUCUCUCCAGGGACACGCAAUGCUCUCUGCUGUGGCCUGGGAAAACAGUGGAGGAUGGCCCAAGAGCGUGGGCCCCUGCACCCGCGUGGGAGACCCGGAGGAAGCUCCCUGCUCCUGGCUUCGGAUUGGUGCAGCUCCAGCUGUUGUGGCCAUCUGGGGAGUGAACCAUCAGAUAGAAGAUUUUUCUCUCUCUGUCUCUG